rnacentral:rRNA from 1 species
CAAUAGCGUAUAUUAAAGUUGUUGCGGUUAAAAAGCUCGUAGUUGGAGUUCUGCCAGGUGCCGCCUGUCCGCCCCAGUGGUGAGUACGUGGCGCGCAUUUGGCCCUUUCAAGGGGAGCGUAUCUGCACUUUAUUGUGUGGUGCGGGAUCCUUGACUUUUACUUUGAGGAAAUAGGAGUGUUCCAAGCAGGCUCUCGUCGUGCACAGCUCAGCAUGGAAUAAUAGCAUUGGACCUCGAUUCUAAGCUGUUGGUUGCCAGAAGCGAGGUAAUGAUGAAGAGGGAUAGUUGGGGGCAUUCGUAUUUAACUGUCAGAGGUGAAAUUCUUGGAUUUGUUGAAGACGAUCUACUGCGAAAGCAUUUGCCAGGGAUGUUUUCAUUGA